CUUGUGCUUUUUGACCUCUAUCCCUCGCAAUUAUCCUUCUCAUCAGCUCUCUCAGAUCUCGAUUCUCACUCUCUCGAUUCUUCUUCUUAGCCUCUCCUUCGUCUUCUUGGUCUCUAUUUCAUCUUUCGCGUCCGGAUUAUGGAGCUCUCCAGCAACUAGUAGAGCACUCUAGAAAAAUUAGGCUUCUUCGCUAUUUAGGUUCUUCCAUUUGUGGGUUUCUCGAUUUGGGGAUUUCACGGGUACUCAAUUAGCCACUUCGACAAUCCAAUCUUGCGUAGAUUCAUUCAGUUUACUUCGACAUCCAUAGCUGGAGGCGUUCUAGAGGCAAUCCAGAUUCAAGAGAAUUUUUGUGUUUAGUGGGAGCAGUCUGGUUAUCGAAGAACAUUUAUUAUUUUUGUACAUAGGGAGAGGGAAUUUCAGUAGCAAGAUGAUCGAUUUAGCUAUGAAGACCACCUCAAACUCUUCGUCGACAACUCUAGAUCGAUCAAGACCAAGCUUACAUCUUGAUGCUUCAUGAGCAAGCAACUCCUGUAGUUACUUAAAGAAUGCUAGCUACAUAUACUUUGACUCCAACUACUUGAAGUUUGACAAGUUCGAUGAUCUUUGCCCGCUUGCACUUGUUAAAGAGUUAACUGAGAGAGGUGGUUACAUGGACCCUUGAAGCUAUGUGACGCACCAGGAAUAAGAGGUGCCUACGGGUGUAUGUCAAUAAGGAUAUAGGCAUUGAACAAGGGGACAUCUACAAUCAUUUUGUAAGUGAUGCAACUGGAGGAGCAACUUUAUGCAAACGGAGAUAGGUACUCCAGCUGAUCCCUUCCCAGCAAGGUUUGUUUACUUUAUUUUAAAAGAAAUAUGCACAUAUAUAAGAGAUCAUCAAGAUUGGGAAUCAAGAAGGGGGGAUUUGCAACAUAUUUGGGAUCAGUAAGGUGAGUAUUACAUAUUUCCUUAUAGCUUCCUCUCUUUAUUGGUUUUUUUUUUUUUUUGGCUUUUCUGCAGUAGGUGUCUCUUGAUUUAUUUACCUUAACUCUUGUCUUAUAAGUUUCUUAAGCAUUCUCUCUAGUUAGGUGGGACUAGUUGUGGCAUUGCAAUGUGGGCAUUAAACUUUUUUUUUUUUUUUGAGUGCAAGGUUUAGAGUUGGUUAGGGUUUUCUGAAACAAGAAUUAUUACUUAUGAUAUGAUGAAUUUUGUUGACCAUUCAGAGUUUGAGUUUUUGCAUCGUAACACAGAGAAUAGAAGUUUUGUUUGAUGUUAGAAAGGGUUAGAGUUGGUUAGUGAAACAAGAUUUAGUAUCAAUGUAAAAACAGUAAGAUGAAUGAGCAGCCUCUUAGUUUUAACUUGUAAUGCAGUAGAUAAAGCUUUUGUUUGCUGUUAGAAAUGAAUUAUAUGGUUAACCAAAAUUGUAUUGUUUAUAAUGAAUUUAACUAGUACUGGAUGCAUCUAUAAAUGGUAUUUUCUGUAUCAGAAUUUUUACCACUGACUGUGUUUGUCCUUCAGGCUUGUAACUCUAUUAUUAUUUAAUUACCAGGGACUUGAUCUUCAACAAUCUAACUGGACAAAUACCAGACUCACUGUUUAAUUUGAGUUCUCUUUCCAUCCUGUAAUAUCUCAAGCGCUCGUACUUGUUUUAUUUUCCUCCUAAAUGUACUCUUCAAGUACUACUUGAGGCAUGUAUUUCUGUCUUCAUGAUUAGGUUUCUUGGAAACAAUAAGUUGAAUGGCGCUCUCUCUGAAUCAAAAAGCUCAUCUCUUCUCAAUGUGUAAGUACUUCAACAUGUUUUCUCUAAACAUCAUCAUAAUUCAUUACACUUGGAGUUUUCUGAUUUUUCUGAUAAGUAUGUUCUGUAUUUGAUGAACUAUCUGAGUCAUCUCUUUGUUGAUAAAUAUAAUGUACUUACUUCGGCUUUAUCUGAACUGUACAAUAUCAGCUUCUACAUGAACUUGAAGGAUUCUGAAUGCCCCCACUUCUUUUUCUAAUUAACUCAUAAUCUUUUUGAGUGACCUCACUACUAGAUGCUACUGUUCUUUAGUUGAUAAUUUUUACUAAAUGCCUACAACUAAGCAAUAAUUCCAUAGAAGUACAGAUUUAUAUGCAGUGAGCUAUAAUAACUAGUGAACAGAUGUUUCUCACCACUAGAAUUUAUCGUAACAGGACUAUUUGACAACAGUAUGAGAAGGAAAAUAGUAAAUAGCAAUGAGUUGCAGCUAAUUGUCUAAAGUUCAACCCACAACGUAGCUACUUUUUCUAUAGGAGGCUUGCAUUUAUUUAUUUAGUAAUUUACUAAUCUACUGUUUCUGUCCCAUCAAGUUGGUUAGGAGCCCAUUCUUUGUCCUACAACUUGUUCAGUCAGUCAGUCGGUCAAUUUUUUUUCUCAAGAUAUGGCUUCUCAUUGCUGGAAAUCCUAAACCAUAAUCUUGUGGGUUCAUGGGAAAACAUGGAGAAAUAGGGGUUUUAGAUUCAAAUUAAUAUGAUGCAAAAUCAUAUAUCAGAGUAUCGAUAGGCUUGACCAAUGCCUGAAUUUUGAUAAUGGUCAUGGUAUUAUUAUAUUUAAUUGUAUGAAACUAUGAACUAUGUAAUUGAUGUAUUUGUCAUGACAUGUAUGCAGAGAUUUAUCAUACAAUAAUCUAGUUGGGAGCAUUCCUUCUUGGGUCAACGGAACGAGUUUACAGCUGUAUGUCCUGAUAUUGCAGUACAUAUCAGAUUUUCUGUUUGCAACAUGAUUCUUUUUUUUUUCCUAACUUAAUAACUGCUUUACUUUUUUAUAUAUCAAUUUGUUAGUUUAUCAAUGUCAGUUUUUCCAGCAAUCAUAACGAUUUUGUUUUGGUAGGAUGUCCUUGCAUUUAUAUACUUUAUAUGAUGACAUUAACUUUGAGAAUUUCUUUGGGUCUAUUUGCAGUAGUUUAGUUGCCAACAACUUCACCCUUGACAGUUCAAACAGCAGGAAGCUGUCAAGGGACAAUUAUGGAGAUUACGUGAUCCCCAGGGGAAGCCACCAGGUGUAAUACAGUAGUACAGCUAGCUAGUUCGUAUAUUUAACUUGUGUCUAGUAGAAAUUCUUCCUUCAUUAAGUAUUUGGACUUGUCUGCAGAUUCAAAUUAGUAGAUAUGGGCCAUUUUGAACUGAUGCUCAUGAUUAGGUUUGUGUACAUGAGA